CUCCGGCUCCCGCUAUCGGAUGAGCAUAUGUCGGAUUAGCUGGUUGGUGAGGUAAUGGCUCACCAAGGCGACGAUCCGUAGCUGGUCUGAGAGGAUGAUCAGCCACAUCGGGACUGAGACACGGCCCGAACUCCUACGGGAGGCAGCAGUGGGGAAUAUUGGACAAUGGGGGGAACCCUGAUCCAGCCAUGCCGCGUGUGUGAAGAAGGCCCUCGGGUUGUAAAGCACUUUCAGUGAGGAAGAACGCCUGGUGGUUAAUACCCAUCAGGAAAGACAUCACUCACAGAAGAAGCACCGGCUAACUCCGUGCCAGCAGCCGCGGUAAUACGGAGGGUGCGAGCGUUAAUCGGAAUUACUGGGCGUAAAGCGCGCGUAGGUGGCUUGAUAAGCCGGUUGUGAAAGCCCCGGGCUCAACCUGGGAACGGCAUCCGGAACUGUCAAGCUAGAGUGCAGGAGAGGAAGGUAGAAUUCCCGGUGUAGCGGUGAAAUGCGUAGAGAUCGGGAGGAAUACCANGUGGCGAAGGCGGCCUUCUGGACUGACACUGACACUGAGGUGCGAAAGCGUGGGUAGCAAACAGGAUUAGAUACCCUGGUAGUCCACGCCGUAAACGAUGUCGACCAGCCGUUGGGUGCCUAGCGCACUUUGUGGCGAAGUUAACGCGAUAAGUCGACCGCCUGGGGAGUACGGCCGNCAAGGUUAAAACUCAAAUGAAUUGACGGGGGCCCGCACAAGCGGUGGAGCAUGUGGUUUAAUUCGAUGCAACGCGAAGAACCUUACCUACUCUUGACAUCCUGCGAAUUUGGUAGAGAUACCUUAGUGCCUUCGGGAACGCAGAGACAGGUGCUGCAUGGCUGUCGUCAGCUCGUGUUGUGAAAUGUUGGGUUAAGUCCCGUAACGAGCGCAACCCUUGUCCUUAUUUGCCAGCGCGUAAUGGCGGGAACUCUAAGGAGACUGCCGGUGACAAACCGGAGGAAGGUGGGGACGACGUCAAGUCAUCAUGGCCCUUACGAGUAGGGCUACACACGUGCUACAAUGGUCGGUACAAAGGGUUGCCAACUCGCGAGAGUGAGCCAAUCCCGAAAAGCCGAUCUCAGUCCGGAUCGGAGUCUGCAACUCGACUCCGUGAAGUCGGAAUCGCUAGUAAUCGUGGAUCAGAAUGCCACGGUGAAUACGUUCCCGGG
rnacentral:rRNA from 1 species